GACGAACGCUGGCGGCGCGCCUAACACAUGCAAGUCGAACGGAGUCAAGAGGAGCUUGCUUUUCUUGACUUAGUGGCGAACGGGUGAGUAACGCGUGAGUAACCUGCCCUGGAGUGGGGGACAACAGUUGGAAACGACUGCUAAUACCGCAUAAGCCCACGGCCCGGCAUCGGGCUGCGGGAAAAGGAUUUAUUCGCUUCAGGAUGGACUCGCGUCCAAUUAGCUGGUUGGUGAGGUAACGGCCCACCAAGGCGACGAUUGGUAGCCGGACUGAGAGGUUGAACGGCCACAUUGGGACUGAGACACGGCCCAGACUCCUACGGGAGGCAGCAGUGGGGGAUAUUGCACAAUGGGGGAAACCCUGAUGCAGCGACGCCGCAUGGAGGAAGAAGGUUUUCGGAUUGUAAACUCCUGUCGUUAGGGACGAUAAUGACGGUACCUAACAAGAAAGCACCGGCUAACUACGUGCCAGCAGCCGCGGUAAAACGUAGGGUGCAAGCGUUGUCCGGAAUUACUGGGUGUAAAGGGAGCGCAGGCGGACCGGCAAGUUGGAAGUGAAAACUAUGGGCUCAACCCAUAAAUUGCUUUCAAAACUGCUGGCCUUGAGUAGUGCAGAGGUAGGUGGAAUUCCCGGUGUAGCGGUGGAAUGCGUAGAUAUCGGGAGGAACACCAGUGGCGAAGGCGACCUACUGGGCACCAACUGACGCUGAGGCUCGAAAGCAUGCGUAGCAAACAGGAUUAGAUACCCUGGUAGUCCAUGCCGUAAA
rnacentral:rRNA from 1 species